GGAUUGGGAGGGUUCUACGGAACCCGUUUGGUGAAUCUAGUGCCGAGAAAAGCCUUCUAUGUGUUGAAUUUCUAGUACCCGUACCCCAAACCGACACAGGUGGGUGGGUAGAGCAUACCUAGGGGCGCGUGAUAACUCUCUCUAAGGAACUCGGCAAAAUGGCCCUGUAACUUCGGGAUAAGGGGUGCCUGCGUGAGCAGGCCGCAGUGAAAUGGCUCUGGCGACUGUUUACCAAAAACACAGGUCUCUGCUAAGUCGUAAGACGAUGUAUAGGGGCUGACUCCUGCCCAGUGCCGGAAGGUUAAGGAAGUUGGUUAGCGCAAGCGAAGCUGGCGACCGAAGCCCCGGUGAACGGCGGCCGUAACAAUAACGGUCCUAAGGUAGCGAAAUUCCUUGUCGGGUAAGUUCCGACCCGCACGAAAGGAGUAACGAUCAGAGCGCUGUCUCGGAGAGAGACACGGCGAAAUAGGAUUGUCCGUGAAGAUACGGACUACCUGCACCCGGACAGAAAGACCCUAUGAAGCUUUACUGUAACUUGGAAUUGUGUUCGGACUUUGUCUGCGCAGAAUAGGUGGGAGGCUAUGAAACGUUCCCCGCGGGGAACUGGAGCCAUCGUUGAGAUACCACUCUGGCAGAGUCUGGAUUCUAACCUACGGGGACAGUUCCAGGUGGGCAGUUUGACUGGGGCGGUCGCCUCCUAAAAUGUAACGGAGGCGCGCAAAGGUUCCCUCAGGCUGGUUGGAAAUCAGCCAUAGAGUGUAAAAGCAUAAGGGAGCUUGACUGUGAGACCUACAAGUCGAGCAGGGACGAAAGUCGGCUUUAGUGAUCCGACGGCACUGAGUGGAAGGGCCGUCGCUCAACGGAUAAAAGUUACUCUAGGAUAACAGGCUGAUCUCCCCCAAGAGUUCACAUCGACGGGGAGGUUUGGCACCUCGACGUCGGCUCGUCGCAACCUGGGGCGGUAGUACGUCCCAAGGGUCGGGCUGUUCGCCCAUUAAAGCGGCACGUGAGCUGGGUUCAGAACGUCGUGAGACAGUUCGGUCCAUAUCCGGUGUAGGCGUAGGAGCAUUGAAAGGAUCUCUCCUUAGUACGAGAGGACCGGGAGGGACGUACCUCUGGUGUACCUGUUAUCGUGCCAACGGUAAACGCAGGGUAGCCAUGUACGGAGUGGAUAACCGCUGAAAGCAUCUAAGUGGGAAGCCCACCCUAAGAUGAGUGCUCCCUUGAGGCCACGGGAAGACGACCCGCUUGAUAGGCGCUAGGUGGAAGUGCAGUAAUGCAUGCAGCCGAGGCGUACUAAUAGGCCGAUGGCUUGUC
rnacentral:rRNA from 1 species